ACUCCUACGGGAGGCAGCAGUGGGGAAUAUUGCACAAUGGGCGCAAGCCUGAUGCAGCCAUGCCGCGUGUAUGAAGAAGGCCUUCGGGUUGUAAAGUACUUUCAGCAGUGAGGAAGGUGGGUAUGUUAAUAGCCAUACUUCAUUUGACGUUAGCUGCAGAAGAAGCACCGGCUAACUCCGUGCCAGCAGCCGCGGUAAUACGGAGGGUGCGAGCGUUAAUCGGAAUUGA
rnacentral:rRNA from 1 species